rnacentral:rRNA from 1 species
AUGGAGGGGGCAAAGAAGCAGGUUUUCACGAUCAAGGUGGAGGAUGGGAAGCCCGGGAAGGACGGCCGGCCGGCGGUGGGGCCGGUGUUCCGGAACAUACUGGCCAAGGAUGGGUUCCCGCCGCUUGAUCCUGACAUGAGGACCUCAUGGGAUGUGUUCAGAACGGCAGCAGGCAAGUAUCCAGACAACCGGAUGCUUGGAUGGCGUCCAUUUAAAGACGGAGUGCCAGGGCCCUACUUAUGGAAAUCAUACAAGGAGGUCUAUGAGGAAGUCCUGCAAAUUGGAUCUGCGCUGCAGCAGCUGGGGGUGCAACCAGGUUCCAGGGUUGGAAUUUAUGGAUCCAACUGCCCUCAAUGGGUGGUAGCAAUGCAGGCUUGCAAUGGUUACAGCAUAAUAUGUGUCCCACUGUACGAUACUUUAGGUGCUGGAGCUGUUGAUUACAUUAUUGACCAUGCUGAGAUUGAUGUUGUCUUCAUACAAGACAAGAAAAUAAAAGAAAUACUGUCCCCAAAUUGCACAUCUGCGACUAGGCUAAAAGCAUUGGUGGCAUUCACCUCGGCAACUAAUGAACAAAUCAAAGAUGCCGAGCAGAUUGGGAUGAAAGUGUACUCCUGGAAUGAUUUCUUAAAAAUGGGAAAGGAUAAACCAGUUAAACCUCGUCCUCCGCAACCAAAUGAUACAUGCACCAUCAUGUACACAAGUGGAACAAGUGGGCAACCCAAAGGUGUUAUGCUGAGCCAUGAGAGCCAUGGGAUGUAUGUAAAAGGGGUGGACCUCUUCAUGGACCAGUUUGAGGAUAAGAUGUCAACGGAGGAUGUGUUUCUUUCUUUUCUCCCACUUGCUCACAUUCUCGACCGCAUGAUCGAAGAGUAUUUCUUCCACAAAGGAGCCUCAGUUGGCUAUUACCAUGGAGAUUUGAAUGCCUUGAGAGAUGAUCUCAUGGAGUUAAAACCAACUCUACUAGUUGGGGUGCCCAGAGUGUAUGAAAAGAUUUAUGAAGGUAUUUUAAAGGCCUUGGCAGAUCUCAGACCUCUCAGGAGGGUGAUUUUUAAUGCUUUGUAUAACCGCAAACUAGCAAGCAUGAAAGCAGGCUACACACAAAAAACUGCUUCACCUUUCGCUGACAUGCUGGCUUUUCGCAAGGUCAAGGCAAGGCUCGGUGGCCGUCUUCGCCUACUAAUCUCCGGUGGUGCACCCUUAAGUACUGAAAUUGAAGAGUUCUUGAGAGUGACCAGCUGCGCAUACUUUAUCCAAGGCUAUGGUUUAACGGAAACAUUGGGACCUAGCACAGUCGGUUACCCUGAUGAUAUGUCCCUGGUUGGAACUGCCGGUGUUGCCGCCACCUUCACUGAACUGCGACUGGAAGAAGUACCUGAGAUGGGUUAUGAUCCACUUGGUGUUCCUUCUCGUGGUGAAAUCCUCAUUAGAGGGUCCACUGUCUUCACUGGGUACUACAAAAAUCCUGAGCUCACAAACGAGGUCAUGGUUGAUGGAUGGUUUCAUACAGGAGAUAUUGGAGAGAUGAGCCCAGAUGGAAUCCUGAAGGUUAUUGACCGAAAGAAGAACAUAUUUAAGCUAUCACAAGGGGAGUAUGUCGCAGUUGAGUAUCUGGAGAAAGUAUAUGUCUUCCCUCCAAUUAUUGAAGAUAUCUGGGUGUACGGGGACAGCUACAAAUCAAUGUUAGUGGCAGUAGUUAACCCACAUGAAGAAAACACCAUGAAGUGGGCAGGGUCAAAUGGCUACAAAGGUUCUUUCAGUGAAAUAUGCAAAUCUGAAGGCCUUAAAGAGCAUGUCCUUAAAGAGCUCGCAGCGGCUGCACAGAAGAACAAGCUACGAGGUUUUGAGUACAUCAAAGGCGUAGUGUUGGAUCCUGUACCUUUUGACAUUGAAAGGGAUUUGGUCACUGCAACAAUGAAGAAGAGAAGAAACUACAUGCUAAAAUAUUAUCAGCCUGAGAUUGACAAAGUAUACAAAACAUUGGAGGGUCAGAGGGCUGCGAACAAAGCAAAGUAA